rnacentral:rRNA from 1 species
UACGUAGGGUGCAAGCGUUGUCCGGAAUUAUUGGGCGUAAAGAGCUCGUAGGCGGUCUGUCGCGUCGGCUGUGAAAACUCGGGGCUCAACUCCGAGCUUGCAGUCGAUACGGGCAGGCUAGAGUUCGGCAGGGGAGACUGGAAUUCCUGGUGUAGCGGUGAAAUGCGCAGAUAUCAGGAGGAACACCGGUGGCGAAGGCGGGUCUCUGGGCCGAUACUGACGCUGAGGAGCGAAAGCGCGGGGAGCGAACAGG